rnacentral:rRNA from 1 species
GUGGCAGUCGCCACGGUAAUACGGAGAGUGCAAGCGUUGUUCGGAAUUACUGGGCGUAAAGGGCGCGUAGGCGGUCGCGCAAGUCGGGUGUGAAAGCCCCGGGCUCAACCUGGGAAUUGCAUUCGAUACUGCGUAACUAGAGUCUGGUAGAGGGAAGCGGAAUUCCGCAUGUAGCGGUGAAAUGCGUAGAUAUGCGGAGGAACACCAGUGGCGAAGGCGGCUUCCUGGACCAAGACUGACGCUGAGGCGCGAAAGCGUGGGGAGCAAACAGGAUUAGAUACCCUGGUAGUCCACGCCCUAAACGAUGAGGACUAGACGUUGGGGGGAUAAAACCCUUUAGUGUCGCAGCUAACGCGUGAAGUCCUCCGCCUGGGGAGUACGGCCGCAAGGUUGAAACUUAAAUGAAUUGGCGG